rnacentral:rRNA from 1 species
UACGUAGGUGGCAAGCGUUAUCCGGAAUUAUUGGGCGUAAAGAGCGUGUAGGCGGUUAGGUAGGUCCGUUGUGAAAACUCGAGGCUCAACCUCGAGACGCCGAUGGAAACCAUCUGACUAGAGUCCGGAAGAGGAGAGUGGAAUUCCUGGUGUAGCGGUGAAAUGCGCAGAUAUCAGGAAGAACACCCGUGGCUAAGGCGGCUCUCUAGUACGUGACUGACGCUGAGACGCGAAAGCGUGGGGAGCGAACAGG